GCAGCUGCCUUAAUGCACGGUGUGAGAUGGUCACAUGAGGUACAGUGUGAUGGUGGAACACACUGCAUCCCAAGUGAUCACCCUACAUGGCGCUGU